rnacentral:misc_RNA from 1 species
UCAAUUAUUCUUCUUUUUUUUUCAGAAUAAAAAUCAAUGAACUGGAUCCAAUGACAGACGGAAGACCCACAUUGAGAAGAAGAUUAGGAUCUGAAUCCGAGAAAGCGACUGGUUCCGAAAGCUAUGUGAUUUCUUCUAAAUCUACUUUCAAAGUUACAGAAGAAGUUUCACCGGACCCUAGUCCCAACCCCAGAUUUUCAAAAACAAAUCUUCAGGCCGAUAUGGGAGGAAGUAGUCGAGACAGAACUCGGGAGUUUAACGAUACAGUUCGAUCUCUACAGGGGAGAACAGCUAAUGGUCAUGCUGGUUUUAGACCGGGAAGACCGGGAAGUCAGGCCUCACAUUUUAUGAAGAUUGCUAAGGCUAUCGGAUCCGAUAUAACGAAAACCUACACUAAACUUGAGAAACUAGCACUCCUAGCCAGGAAAAAGACGAUUUUUGACGAUAAACCUGUGGAGAUACAAGAGUUAACGUUUAUUAUUAAGGAAGACAUUGCUAACCUUAAUAAACAGAUUGCUCAGCUACAGCAGGUUGCAAAGGGUCAGCGGGAUGGACAAGGAAAGCAUCAGCAAUCACAUUCCACGAGUGUUGUCGUCUCUCUUCAGUCAAAACUGGCGGCCAUGUCGAAUAAUUUUAAACAGGUUUUAGAAGUAAGAAAUGAAAAUUUGAAAUCUCAGCGUAAUCGUGCCGAACAGUUUAGUAACGGCGGAGUAACGUCUUCUCUACCCCAGUCUGCUACGACGGGUUACCAUGCUGGCUCUGUUCUAGCAAUGGAAGACGAUAUUCAAGGCGGUGCUGUAUCUAUAGAUAUGGGAGGAGCAGUCCAGUCAUUCAUGCAGGAUGAGAGUGAUAAGUAUUACAGUUCUAGAGCGGAUACAAUGCAUACUAUUGAGAGUACUAUAGUGGAGCUAGGAGGAAUAUUUUCACAGUUGGCACACAUGGUGAAAGAACAAGAGGAGAUGGUUCAGAGAAUAGAUUCUAAUGUCGAGGAUACACUCUUUAAUGUUGAACUAGGACACAAUGAGAUACUUAAGUAUUUUCAGUCUGUGACUUCAAACCGAUGGUUGAUGGUGAAAAUCUUCGCAGUUCUUAUUUUCUUCUUCCUUCUCUUCGUCGUUUUUAUGGCGUAAACAUUAAACAAUCGUUAAUCGUAAUAUUUUUAUUGUAAUGCUAGGACCUGCAUUUAAACAUCGCUGACUCGGGAGAUUUCUAAAGAUUUUAAUUUAUAAUUACCCACUUCUGUGUUUCUCAAUGUAUAUUUUAUCUCAUCUGUUCUUCGGAAAAAUGAAUGCUUCUAUAAGCUGAAUAGCCUUACAGCGAACAGAUUUUAUUAAGAUGUUCCAAAUAUAAUUUGAAUAGGCUUGUUACAAACACUUGAGUAAUAUAUAGUGAGGAGUGAUGAGUAUAUCAAACGUACUCAUAAGAUAGACGAGGAAUAUCCUCUUUGUGCACUUGUUGGUGUGUUUUCACAUUGGUUAACGGUUUUCUUUUCAGUUCUUUUUAUUUUGGAAGAUUUUAAGAAAUUGUUAUGAAAUCGUGAAUGUACAAAUUGUACAUAUUCCCUGAACCCCUCUACUAUGAGGCCUAUUCAAUUUUUUAACACAGUGUGUAUAUUUCAUAAAAUUUAAUAUUUAUUUUAUUUUGGGAGGUUACCCAAAUUUAUCUGCCUCUGGAAGGGUCUGUUAGUGUUUAGAUAGAAAUAUAUUUUAUAAUCUUAUAAUAAAUUGUAUGUGCUAAACAUUAAUGCCAAAUAAAAAGGCCUGAGAAAGGGAAUUGCUUAGACAUUGGUAUAUUUUGGACAAGGACUGUUAUGUUUUAGCUUUCAGAAACAUCAUUAAAGUACUUUAAGCGCAAUUGGCCCUCUAUUCAAAGAUGGCAAUGUCCGAUUUACACUGGUACCCUUCAAUGAUGUUUUCCUUUAGUAGAAAUGCGCAAGUAACUUUUGAUGAGACAUAACCAUUUAGAAUUAUCACUCAAACUAUUUUCAAGUUUACUAAGUUUUAAAAUUAAUAUCUAAUUCAUGCCUGAUCAGACAAAGCUUUUAAGGGUACCGUUGUGAAUCGGGUAUCGCAGAAAGGUUCGGUUAAAAUUACGCUUACAGACUACAGUCCCUAUAAAGCUGUAACAUAUGCAGGCUUAGUGUUUCCGCAUUUUAAAAUGUGAAGUGUUCCAAAUAAUUAGCAUUUCUUUUAAGAUCAAUAUGAUAAAAGACGUAGCUUGAUUGAAUCCAUUUUUCUAAGCAAAAGCAUCCCAAAUCCCAUCUUGAUGUUUUUGUCUGGCUGGUAAAUGUAAUUGUAUCUGUUUACUAAUUUACUGUGAUAUAUUUAGAAAUGUUAAUGUUAAAACCCAAUUAAAUCCAAUUACUUUGUUCUGUGGUAACUUGGAAAUUGUGGAAGGAAUGUCGCCUGUUCCUAAAAAAUUGUUGAAAAUCUUAAAGUUCUCAAAAGUUUCAGAUUUAAGAAAGAGGACAAUAUGAAUUCCACUAUUUUCGUGUUUUAGUGUGUCUAAAAUUAUUGAAAUUUGGUGAAAAUGUGAUAAACCGACUUAAAUCUGAAAUCACUCAGACGCCAGUUAGGUCUCCUUCUUUUAUAGCUAUACUAAGUGAUAACUUUGUAAUUUAUAUAAAAAUACAGAUUUAUAUAUUUGUUUGAAAUUAUUACAUUAAAUACAUUAACAUAAACAACAA